ACCCCUAAGGCGAGGCCGAAAGGCGUAGUCGAUGGGAAACGGGUUAAUAUUCCCGUACUUGGUGUUACUGCGAAGGGGGGACGGAGAAGGCUAUGUUGGCCGGGCGACGGUUGUCCCGGUUUAAGCGUGUAGGUGUGUGUUCCAGGUAAAUCCGGUUCACUUUAACACUGAGGCGUGACGACGAGGCACUACGGUGCUGAAGCAACAAAUGCCCUGCUUCCAGGAAAAGCCUCUAAGCAUCAGGUAACAUCAAAUCGUACCCCAAACCGACACAGGUGGUCAGGUAGAGAAUACCAAGGCGCUUGAGAGAACUCGGGUGAAGGAACUAGGCAAAAUGGUGCCGUAACUUCGGGAGAAGGCACGCUGACACGUAGGUGAAGUGAUUUACUCAUGGAGCUGAAGUCAGUCGAAGAUACCAGCUGGCUGCAACUGUUUAUUAAAAACACAGCACUGUGCAAACACGAAAGUGGACGUAUACGGUGUGACGCCUGCCCGGUGCCGGAAGGUUAAUUGAUGGGGUCAGCGCAAGCGAAGCUCCUGAUCGAAGCCCCGGUAAACGGCGGCCGUAACUAUAACGGUCCUAAGGUAGCGAAAUUCCUUGUCGGGUAAGUUCCGACCUGCACGAAUGGCGUAAUGAUGGCCAGGCUGUCUCCACCCGAGACUCAGUGAAAUUGAACUCGCUGUGAAGAUGCAGUGUACCCGCGGCAAGACGGAAAGACCCCGUGAACCUUUACUAUAGCUUGACACUGAACAUUGAGCCUUGAUGUGUAGGAUAGGUGGGAGGCUUUGAAGCGUGGACGCCAGUCUGCGUGGAGCCGACCUUGAAAUACCACCCUUUAAUGUUUGAUGUUCUAACGUGGACCCGUGAUCCGGGUUGCGGACAGUGUCUGGUGGGUAGUUUGACUGGGGCGGUCUCCUCCUAAAGAGUAACGGAGGAGCACGAAGGUUGGCUAAUCCUGGUCGGACAUCAGGAGGUUAGUGCAAUGGCAUAAGCCAGCUUGACUGCGAGCGUGACGGCGCGAGCAGGUGCGAAAGCAGGUCAUAGUGAUCCGGUGGUUCUGAAUGGAAGGGCCAUCGCUCAACGGAUAAAAGGUACUCCGGGGAUAACAGGCUGAUACCGCCCAAGAGUUCAUAUCGACGGCGGUGUUUGGCACCUCGAUGUCGGCUCAUCACAUCCUGGGGCUGAAGUAGGUCCCAAGGGUAUGGCUGUUCGCCAUUUAAAGUGGUACGCGAGCUGGGUUUAGAACGUCGUGAGACAGUUCGGUCCCUAUCUGCCGUGGGCGCUGGAGAACUGAGGGGGGCUGCUCCUAGUACGAGAGGACCGGAGUGGACGCAUCACUGGUGUUCGGGUUGUCAUGCCAAUGGCACUGCCCGGUAGCUAAAUGCGGAAGAGAUAAGUGCUGAAAGCAUCUAAGCACGAAACUUGCCCCGAGAUGAGUUCUCCCUGAGACUUAGAGUCUCCUGAAGGAACGUUGAAGACGACGACGUUGAUAGGCCGGGUGUGUAAGCGCAGCGAUGCGUUGAGCUAACCGGUACUAAUGAACCGUGAGGCUUAACCUUACAACGCCGAAG
rnacentral:rRNA from 1 species